rnacentral:rRNA from 1 species
UACGGAGGGUGCAAGCAUUAAUCGGAAUUAUUGGGCGUAAAGAGCACGUAGGCUGCGAUUUAAGUCAGAUGUGAAACUCCAAGGCUUAACCUUGGACCUGCAUCUGAAACUGAGUCUCUAGAGGUUGAUCGGAGAAAACGGAAUUCCACAAGUAGCGGUGAAAUGCGUAGAUAUGUGGAAGAACACCAGUGGCGAAAGCGGUUUUCUAGAUUACACCUGACGCUGAGGUGCGAAAGCAAGGGGAGCAAAC